rnacentral:rRNA from 1 species
AUUGAACGCUGGCGGCAUGCCUUACACAUGCAAGUCGAACGGCAGCACGGGGCAACCUGGUGGCGAGUGGCGAACGGGUGAGUAAUGCAUCGGAACGUGCCAUUGAGUGGGGGAUAACGUAGCGAAAGUUGCGCUAAUACCGCAUAUUCUGUGAGCAGGAAAGCAGGGGACCGCAAGGCCUUGCGCUCUUUGAGCGGCCGAUGUCAGAUUAGCUAGUUGGUGAGGUAACGGCUUACCAAGGCGACGAUCUGUAGCGGGUCUGAGAGGAUGAUCCGCCACACUGGAACUGAGACACGGUCCAGACUCCUACGGAGGCAGCAGUGGGAAUUUUGGACAAUGGGCGCAAGCCUGAUCCAGCCAUGCCGCGUGAGUGAAG